CUCAACCGCAGAUAAAUCGAUGGGCUUUUUUCUUGUGUGCGACGCCAUCGUAUUAGACAGCUUGACUUAUUAAGCCCACAGCGAAAACAUACUGGUAUCGAACCCCGACUGAAGACAUGUCACGCAGUAAUAUCCUAUUCCUUGUGGCCUAAGCAAAUUACUAUAUUUAAAAUUAUACGACACCUUGAAUAGCUUCAAAACAUACUACUUGCUUUUAUACAUGUUCGCGUGCUUGAUGCGAGUUCCUCUAAAAAAGACAUUUGCAUGUAGAAAUUUCAGCGGUCAAUGGCAUUGAGUCCGACCAUAAAUAAACAAAAAAAAAGGAAAAUAAGUGAAUUGAAAUGGCAAAAUGUAGAAUGCAACAUUUACCUAAACCUACGAAUGUAUAUAUAUAUAUACUAAAUUACGGAAGCUUGGUAAAUAAGGAAGUACCUAUGUUCGUAUGUACGUCUGUAGACUUACCUUA